CAGAUAGAGUAAAAUUUUUAUUUACAAAUCAUUGUCCGUUUGGUACGCAACAAAAUCGAUGUCUACCCAUCGAAGGCUAUCUUCAAUCAAAUCAAAUUUCCGUCUAUAAAUUUUUCUGGUACAAGCAAGUAUUAAAUAUUAAACAGGCAAUAAAAAUACAUUUAACUGACAGGAAAAAACGAAAAAAAAAGAUUGUAGAGUCAAACAAUUUCCGAACGAGCAAAUAUCUCAUCACAGCAGGUGUAUUGGAUUUCUUAAGAUUCUCUUAAGAUUUCUCAAGAAGUCUACGAUGUUAUCCAAUAGGAUGUCAGCGGAUAGUACAAGUGAAGCGUGAUGGAGUAAAAUGGAGUGUCGACUGUUAAAAGAUUGACGGUUUAAUUCUCACAAAUGUUCAAAUUGGGAACAUGAAGACAAAUCGGGAUGAGAGCGGCAAUGUAAUUUUCAGAGGUGCUGACGGGCA